UAAUGAUUCCUCUUCCCGUAGGGUAACCUGCG
rnacentral:rRNA from 1 species